CACGUAGGGCGCAAGCGUUGUCCGGAAUUAUUGGGCGUAGAGAGCUCGUAGGCGGUUUGUCGCGUCUGCUGUGAAAACUGGAGGCUCAACCUCCAGCCUGCAGUGGGUACGGGCAGACUAGAGUGCGGUAGGGGAGAUUGGAAUUCCUGGUGUAGCGGUGGAAUGCGCAGAUAUCAGGAGGAACACCGAUGGCGAAGGCAGAUCUCUGGGACCGUAACUGGACGCUGAGGAGCGAAAGCAUGGGGAGCGAACAGG
rnacentral:rRNA from 1 species